UACGUAGGGUGCAAGCGUUAAUCGGAAUUACUGGCGUAAAGCGUGCGCAGGCGGUUAUGUAAGACAGGUGUGAAAUCCCCGGGCUCAACCUGGGAACUGCAUCUGUGACUGCAUUGCUGGAGUGCGGCAGAGGGGGAUGGAAUUCCGCGUGUAGCAGUGAAAUGCGUAGAUAUGCGGAGGAACACCGAUGGCGAAGGCAAUCCCCUGGGCCUGCACUGACGCUCAUGCACGAAAGCGUGGGGAGCAAACAGG
rnacentral:rRNA from 1 species